GGUGGUUCUCGGGUGACACACCCCAGAAUUGAACUCCCUCCUCUCUGGUUCCAGGGUGCGUCACCCAAGAACUGCC
rfam:Myotis brandtii contig155854, whole genome shotgun sequence.